GAGGCGGGGAAGGAACCAUCGCCUCUGCCCAUCCCAUCAGAGAGGCUCCCGGGGGCUUCCUCUGUGCCCGAGUCCUGCGAUGACGACAGGGGAUUUCCUCAGAGCAUGUGCAGAGCGCCUCCUUCCUUUCCCCCUCCUCCGCCCCCCUCCUGACUCGAACCAGGCCCCCGAGACAAAAGUUGACCACCUUUGCUGAACUCAGAGCCAACCCUACUAUUAGGCAGAGUGGAGGAUAUUAUCCAAUCACUGGUGAUGAAGUAAGAUUCAGCUGGCAUACUGCUCGGUUUCUCCACUCUGUACAUUCAGAAGGACUAUUUGGCAGAAUCUUCCCUGGACUGAUCCAUGUUUUGCACAGUCCUCACAGUGAUCUACACUGAAGUUAAGUAGCGUUCAAGAAUAAAAUGUAUUUGUUAAACUGUGAAUAUACUAUUUAUGUCACCAAGAUCCAAAAAUGAAAUGUCAGGCUUAAGGUCAAAACAACCACCUGGGAUUACGUAAUUCUACACAGUGCUUUUUUCUGGGGGCACUCAAGGAUAGGCAGUACUGGCAUACACACACACACACACACACACGUGUUAAAAGUGUGCACUUACUGCAUAACUUGGAUACUUUUUACAGUUCAUCAAAAUCAGCUUGUGAGAUACUACUCAGAUUAGACUUCUAAUUUUUGCUGCAUUCUACAAAAAGUGAAAAGGGCACAAUAGUCCUCCAGUGGCCUCAGGUAGGUCUCUUCUAGCACCCUGGCUAUGCCCCCACCCUCCUAUCUCCUUUGAUAUUACUUUCCCCUGGAGGACUGUUUUAUUAACUGCAUUCAACCUAGUGUUCAUUUUAUUGAGCUGCCCCUCCAUAGGCAUCAUCAAUUCCAUCCCUCCGGAGCACAUUGAUCUGUCAGGACCUCUGAAUAUAUAAACCCUUAAACCAGGCAUCCCCAACCUGUGGCCCUCCAGAUGUUUUGGACUACAAUUCCCAUCAUCCCUGACCACUGGUCCUGUUAACUAGGGAUCAUGG